ACCCCAUGCCGAACUCAGCAGUGAAACCGCUCAGCGCCGAUGGUAGUGUGGGGCCUCCCCAUGCGAGAGUAGGUCAUCGUCAGGC
rnacentral:rRNA from 1 species